CGCCGCGGCCGACCCACGCUCCAGAGCUCGCCGUCGCGCCCUCCUCUCGCGCAACUCGCGAAAGUUGCAGAUCCACUUUCGGAAUGUGCGCCAUGAGCGAUACGCGACCGGAACUUUCGCGUUCUCAGCUUUUACCCGAAAGUUCGUGAUUUUCAUUCUGUGCGGGAAGGAUGACCAAUGGAUGAAUUAUUGAAGUCUGUGUGUUGAUUUCCGGUCGGGUUUUAUUAAAGUUGUGUGCUCGAUUUUUGAAUUUUUUGGUUUUUGAAAAGUUUGAACUUUCGCUCGUUCGCUUCGGGGAUCCGUUGAUCCUGCGAUUUGAAUCUAGGUCGGGGAAAAAAUCGAAUUUUUGCCCGUCUUUUUGUGUUAGUUCUUGAUCGGGAAGAGGUUGUGUGAACUGAAAGCUCGGUUAUGAUUUUUGAAAAAUAAAAAUUUCGACUAUCGUAGUUUUUUUUUGGAUAAUUUUGUAUUGUGAAAAAUAUUCUUGGCGGAUGCACCCAUUUCUGGCGUAUAUUUCUCGGCCUUAAUCUGUGUGAAAUUCAGUCUAAUUCCUCCGAAGUGUGUAAUAUUAUUUCCGGAUCAAAGAAAGACUUAUUUUUUUUUUAAUUCUUCUUUGAAGUGUCACCAACCAAUUUUGAACGUGGUCAACCUUGCACUAUCUGCGCUUUUUGUACCGCAGUUUUAAAAUUUCCUUCGGAUAAUUUUUUUCUAAUUCUCCCAAGUGGUGUUGCUCUCUAUACGUUUGGAAGAAUUUCCACUCAAAAUAACGAGAACCUCUGGUCAUUUGAGCAAUACGGGAACUUGAUUCAUCGAAAAAAAUUUAAUUUUACGCACAAAAGUAUUUACCUCACUCUACAUUUCAAUAUCGUUAAUCGUGUUAGUAGAUAUUUUCAAAAUAUACAUAUAUUGCCAAAAGUCAUCAGCGCCAAGAAAGAAAACUACCCAGAGAAUUUGACUCGAUAAUUUUCUGAAUCUCUGUGCACAAAAUUUGCUCAAAUAUCGUCAUCCCUGUGCAUUCCUUUGGAUUUAAAUUUCAAUUAACAAUCAGAAGUUUAGUGCCAAUUUUCAGUCUCCACACAACUUCUAAGGCAAAAAAUUUUCAGCCCCUCACACAUUCAGCUCGUAGUUUUUUAAUUUCAACCAUAUCGUUUUUUGGCUAAAUUUGUUUCAUCGUUGACAACCUCUCUAAGCAGUAAACAUUAUUCGAAGUAAUCACUUUUUAACCGGUAAAUUUUCAAAUGUUAUUUUCUUUUUUCAUUUACUACCUCUAAAUUUGUAAACUUUAAAGAAACGGAGACAGCUCGCGUCGUUCGAUCAGUGUAAACCUCGCCGAUUUUAAAGUUUCUAUUUUGAGCCUUCGGAUUUCCUGAGGAGUCAAAAUUCUUUUCUACCAAAGUGCAAAAUACAUAUCCCUGCUUUUGGGUUGUGGGAACUGGGCUGUGUGAAUCGGUGGCAUGUUCUGUGUUUCUUCCCUGGUGACCAGCUUCAAUACCUAGUGCGCGGCACGAAUAUCAACGGAAAUAACAAGAUCCAUAACUGUGAUAAGGCCACCCAACUAUUAGCUGUGAACUUCGUUGCGGACGGGGUUCUUUCAAGAAGCGGGUUUUUCGGUUCUCAUUUCGUUGUCCGUGACUUGCGUUCGUGAUUGUGCUGCUUGAUUGAGCGCCGGACUAACUUCGCGCAGAAAACAGGACUGACAUGGGUGAAGCUAGCCGGAAGCAAUUGAUCGUUUCUCGAUUCAUGGAUUCAGACAGCCAAGACACGUGCGAACUGGUUGGGAGCGGGGCUGCGUAAAUGAUCCAGUUCCCUGUGGAGCCGUCCGUUCCUUGACGUUUUAACUCCUGGUUUCAUGGGGGAGAGUUCGAACCCGGUUCUGGCGUGAUGAGCCCCGACACGUGGACCAUGUCCUGUUUUUCGCUCGGGCCUCGGUAGAGAUGUUGUGAGGAAGGACCAAGCGGAGCCCCGGCAUGCUCUCUCACGUGUUCCCCGCCCUCGAAGCAACCUUUUGGGUUCUCUUUAGUGUGUUUGCUCCUGCUCUUCGAGGUAUAUCUCAAACACGUGACUGAUAAAUGGAAAA